UAGCUCAGUGGUAGAGCACGUGCCUAGCAACCACAAGGCCCUGGGUUCAGUCCCCAG
rnacentral:tRNA from 1 species